CUGACUUCUUCUGUGUGAUCAGCUUUUCCCAUUUAUCCUAGAGGAAGAAAGGCAGAGAUGAGGAGUCCUUCUGGAAAGACAAUUCCAGAAAAGUCUUUCCUGAGUAAAGACAACCCAUUCAAUGGGCUUUUCCUGCCUCUCUGAUCUGCGGCCUCCCAAGUUCACAUCAAUAAUUUAUAUGCUGGCAUGCAAGGAAAGCAUCUGAUCUAAAAAGUAAAAUGCUGACAGGGAUCUGUAUUUCCUUGUCAAAUCAGGUUAUAAAACUAUUCCUUUACAACUGGAGAUGGUGCUUGGUCAUAGGUCAGAUCCAUGCUUGAAGGCAGAAUUCAUAGUUUUGGGCCUGAACCAAAACCCAAAAGUAAAUUUUCCUAAAAUAAGGGAAAGUUGGAACUGUAUCUGGAGACUGACUCAGGCCCACCCUCCUAUUUUUGAGGUUUUUUCCUGAUAAAAUGUGGUAAUUUCUAAAAGGAAAGUGAUCCAACCCAUUAAUUUGCGAAACAUGCCCAAAUUGGGUGACUAAGAAGGAAAGAGGGGAAACCCAUAUGCACUAAUUGAUUGCUUAAUGCCAGUCAGAUUUUCUAUAGUCUUUACUGCUAUAGGUGUACCUAAAACCCAGAAGACACUGCUGGACAUUUUAAUAUGCAUUCUACCUGUUUGAGUCAUCCUAGUGAAUUUCAUAGUUGACUAUAAUCAGCCAUACACCUGUCAAUGUAAAGGGAUAUCAAAUCCUUCUAGCAUGUCACAUUUUCUUGCAUUCCAGUUGUGCUAAAGAAUAUGUUUACUCUUUCCUCGGUCUUCUAGUAAUGAAUAAAUUACUUGAUUUCUUUAUCUCUUGCCAAUGUUAGAAAACAAUUAUUGCAAGUUAAGGUUUUACUAAUUAAAUGGCAAGAGAGGACUGUUUGGUUAGAACAUACCCACUCUAUUCAGUGGAGGAUAAAUUGCCCACAGAUUUUAUCUUCAUCGUCAUCAGAGACAUGUGAAGUAUGAAUUUGAUGACUUUUGGUUUAAGAAAAUAUUUGAGAUGGAAG